GAUGAACGCUGGCGGCGUGCUUAACACAUGCAAGUCGAACGAAGCAUUUAAGACAGAUUACUUCGGUUUGAAGUCUUUUAUGACUGAGUGGCGGUCGGGUGAGUAACGCGUGGGUAACCUGCCUCAUACAGGGGGAUAGCAGCUGGAAACGGCUGGUAAUACCGCAUAAGCGCACAGUACCACAUGGUACAGUGUGAAAAACUCCGGUGGUAUGAGAUGGACCCGCGUCUGAUUAGCUUGUUGGCGGGGUAACGGCCCACCAAGGCGACGAUCAGUAGCCGAACUGAGAGGGUGACCGGCCACAUUGGGACUGAGACACGGCCCAGACUCCUACGGGAGGCAGCAGUGGGGAAUAUUGCACAAUGGAGGAAACUCUGAUGCAGCGACGCCGCGUGAGCGAAGAAGUAGUUCGCUAUGUAAAGCUCUAUCAGCAGGGAAGAUAGUGACGGUACCUGACUAAGAAGCUCCGGCUAAAUACGUG
rnacentral:rRNA from 1 species